ACUUUUUACAAUUCUGAGUUUCUCUAACACGAAUAAAUGUAAAUUUUAUAAUAGAACCAAAACUAGAAUACUAACGGGCAAACCAGGUGCUAAUGCUAUAAAGCUACCGCUAAGCGCGAGGUCCAGGGAGGGGCUGGACCCACUUUGUGGAUCUAAUAUAGGCAGGCGUCACAUGGCAGCAACCAUACCGUUGCGCCGAGGCUCACCCUCCAGAUGCGUUAUGAAUGUGUUAUAAGAACCUCACAAUCGAAGAACUACAGUCCAUUUAAAUGGCCAGAAUCAUUCAAUUCAAACAGAUAGUAUCAGCGGUCAGCCGGUCACAAGUCACAACUGCAGCUGUUCCGCCAAUUGAUCUCAGUUCGUACGAUCUGCGAUACGUUUCCCAAUGUUAAGUCUAGUGCCAUUGAAAUCUCAAUAGAUCUAAAGAUCACCCUUUAUUUAUAUACCUUCUCACGGUGCAGAUAUUGUGCAACGAAUCUCAAAUUAGAUAAGAACAACCACCAUGAUCAACGAAGGCUUGUAAGGAAGGCAGGUAAUAAACUAUGCUUAUGAAGAUUUUACACAAGAAUAUUAAGAGGUUUAGGGAAUGCAAGGGAACAGAAGAAGCUUACCCUGGUAAAAAUAGAAAUAUUAUACAGAAAGGAAGGAAUGCCGGAAGAAAAUCCUAUACUUACAUCAAAUAUAUAUAUAUAUAUAUAUGUGUACAAAUUUAUGUAAGUAACAACAGCUAGUUAGUUUUGCAGUGCAAGACUUCUGCCUUCCUUGGAACAAUCAUUUGGGUGUUCUUGAUUGGCAAUGGGUAUGUCCUACUUUGCAACAAUACCCCACAUACUGCUCAAAGUUGUCUGCAAAUUCCUCCACUGCCCAGUUUGCUUGAGAGAUAAUAGCAGCUCAAACGAAUUUUGAACCAUGGACGGUUGAAAGCGCCUAACAACUGCAAGUUUGAACUUUGAAAGCCUCCCACGUAAGUGCAGGAUUGCACCUUUCCCACCAUUGGAACCAACUCAAAGCUUUUCCCUCCAUAGCAACCAUGGUUGUUUGCAUUCUUUCCUCAUCCGUGACCCCUUUAAAGUUUAAACUGAAAUAACAUUCCAGUUUAUGGGUCCAGCCAAAUGCAUCUUCCCCAGCGAAUAUUGGGAUUUCCAGUUUGCACCAAUGUUCACGCCCCUAAUCCCCUGAGUCUUCACCUCUAUCUACUUUGGGAAUUUCACCCUGCCUCAGGCCCAGUUUGGCAGCGAUCGCAGCAAGAAGUACUUCGUUUUCCUUGGUCCUGGCUUCAUUCAAUUCUAUUCGAGUUAGCAUCUCCUUCGUCCUCUUAGUCCAAUCUUCAGAGUUUUGAGUCAUACUUCUUGUUUGUACCAUGCCCAGCCUCAGAAUUUUCAUGGUUCUUCAGGGCACUGGGGUGCUCUGAUACCAGUGUUAGAACUGGUACCAAACAGAAUAGAGAAACCGAACUAGUCUGGCCUAGCCAAACAGGUUCGCACCCUCCCUUAGGAAAAACAGAAUUUCAUCCCCAUUAGGAAAAGCAGAGUCGUGACUCGUGAGUUGAGAGAGAAGGAAAACGGGAAACGUCUAUUAGAAAAAUAUCGCUCUUGAGAAGAAUUACAAACUAGACACCUAUAGCCACCCACCAACUCCUAAUUCUUCCCGAAAACCCCCCAAUAGAGGCACAGCCACCUCUAUAUAUACUUAACCCAAAACCCUAAUAAAACAUAAUAAAAUAUUAAACUAAUGCUGACUGGAAAAUAAAGCAUAAUGCUGACUGGAUAAAUAAAGACAGAAAGCCCAAGGCUGUUUGGCUGAGAAAUGUCAGCCUGUUUGGCUGGCGCACAACCUCUGUUUCAGCGCUAGCUAAGGCAACGCUUGCUUCUCU
rnacentral:lncRNA from 1 species